rnacentral:misc_RNA from 1 species
AGCAGCCGCGGUAAUUCCAGCUCCAAUAGCGUAUAUUAAAGUUGCUGCAGUUAAAAAGCUCGUAGUUGAAUUUCGGGACUAAUAUGUCGGUCGUGCCUCGGUACGUACUGGUUUAUUGGUUUCUCCUUUCUGAAGAACCAUGAUGUCAUUUAUUUGGUGUCGUGGGGAAUCAGGACUGUUACUUUGAAAAAAUUAGAGUGUUUAAAGCAGGCUCACGCUUGAAUACAUUAGCAUGGAAUAAUGAAAUAGGACGUUUGAUUCUAUUUUGUUGGUUUCUAGGAUCGACGUAAUGAUUAAUAGGGAUAGUUGGGGGCAUUAGUAUUCAAUUGUCAGAGGUGAAAUUCUUGGAUUUAUUGAAGACUAACUACUGCGAAAGCAUUUGCCAAGGAUGUUUUCAUUAAUCAAGAACGAAAGUUAGGGGAUCGAAGACGAUCAGAUACCGUCGUAGUCUUAACCAUAAACUAUGCCGACAGGGAUCGGAUGANGUUAAUUUUUUGANGACUCAUUCGGCGCCUACGGG